rnacentral:rRNA from 1 species
AGAGUUUGAUCAUGGCUCAGAUUGAACGCUGGCGGCAUGCCUCACACAUGCAAGUCGAACGGCAGCACGGGGGCAACCCUGGUGGCGAGUGGCGAACGGGUGAGUAACACAUCGGAACGUGUCCUGUUGUGGGGGAUAACUAGUCGAAAGAUUAACUAAUACCGCAUAAGCUGGAGACAGGAAAGCAGGGGACUCGCAAGGGCCUUGCGCGAUUGGAGCGGCCGAUGUCCGAUUAGCUAUGGUGGGGUAAAAGGCCUACCAAGGCGACGAUCGGUAGCUGGUCUGAGAGGAUGAUCAGCCACACUGGGACUGAGACACGGCCCAGACUCCUACGGGAGGCAGCAGUGGGGAAUUUUGGACAAUGGGGGCAACCCUGAUCCAGCCAUGCCGCGUGAGUGAAGAAGGCCUUCGGGUUGUAAAGCUCUUUCGGUGGGAACGAAACGGUGUAGGUCAAUACCCUGCACUCCUGACGGUACCUACAGAAGAAGCACCGGCUAACUACGUGCCAGCAGCCGCGGUAAUACGUAGGGUGCGAGCGUUAAUCGGAAUUACUGGGCGUAAAGCGUGCGCAGGCGGCGCGUUAAGACAGGUGUGAAAGCCCCGAGCUUAACUUGGGAAUUGCGCUUGUGACUGGCGUGCUGGAGUGUGGCAGAGGGAGGUGGAAUUCCACGUGUAGCAGUGAAAUGCGUAGAGAUGUGGAGGAACACCGAUGGCGAAGGCAGCCUCCUGGGCCAGCACUGACGCUCAUGCACGAAAGCGUGGGGAGCAAACAGGAUUAGAUACCCUAGUAGUCC